GCCGCCGCUUUAAAUAACAGGAUGAAUCAAACAGACAGAACCUCUGCAACGGUCGACUGUUCAUCUCCGAAGAUGAGAAUCCGAGAAGGGCAAGAGAUAUCUCCAGACGACGUCGUGGAAGAAAUUGGAUCAUCGACAGAGCGGAGCGCUGUGGCACUUGAAAAGCGAGGCAAAAUGCUGGCUGCUAAGCCCAAAUUCGGCAUAGGACGGAAUCGGGUUGAAGUUCAAGUGGUGCGGAACCGCAAUUCUUGGUUCUUCUGCUGGUUUAAAGUUGUGGUGAAGUUAAGGUCCCAAGUUUUUAAGGUUUAUACAGAAAGUGACACUGCUAAAGCUGAUGCCGGGAGCAGGACUUGUGCAGCGGUUAACGAAGUAUGGACUCAGGAGAACGCAGCUGCUUUUAACGCUGGGCUGAAAAGUAUGGAGAAGCGAAAAGGCAUACUUGGUAGUUCGGCAGCAAAUGCAAAUGUUGUAAGAAGGGCAUUGGCUGAUGUCAGCAACGUCAAAAGCAAUUCUUCUAGGUUUGUGGGGGUGAUGCCUCGAAGAAAGUUGGGUUUCAAUGGGUACAUCCGUUAGAACUGUGAAUUUAUCAUCGAGGAGAUCCUUCCUGGGUGUAGAAUCGAGGCAUAAAAUCCCGACGUUCAGGCACUUUCGCAUUGACAUCUUCGAGUCCUCUCGGGCUUUUGCACUCAAUAUCUAUCCCUUGUUUUCAGCUUUUGCACUCAAUAAAUAGCUUUCGUCAUCCAUGGGUGUCGGCCAGCACUUGCUUAUCCUAGUAUUCGAGGAAUAUUGGGAUCAAGGUGUGUCAUAAUUUGUGUAAGUCAGGUGGCGUUGUGGAAAGUGGCGCGGAAUUAGAGCCAAAAAUGCCAGUCGUAGAGUCUGGACUUGCUGAAGUUGCUGGAGGAGAAUAAGCGGAUCCGAAAGAUCACACGCCUUUGAGGAAAAUACAACUUCAUACAACUUUGAAAGGCCGCCACGAAAUCCAAGAGAAAGAAAGUUGAGUUGGUUGGAGCUGUUGGUGUUGCUAAUGAUGAUGUGGUUAUCGAGGUUGUUGAGGCUACUGCUGUUGUUGAGGGGGGUGAAGAAGUUGUAAGUGUUGAAGGUGAGGUGGGUUUGACAGAGUCAAUGCUCAAUCAUGCUGGUGGAGUGAAUAUUGCUUUUUUUUUUUUGUUAAGUCGAGGCGUGGCUUUUGCUUAUGACUUUUGGAACUAUGUUGAUUUUCUGUUGAAGUAUUGUAGCUUUGUUUCACUUCGCCAUGUCCAUUUUGCGUUUCUCAUCUUGUGGAAUUUUAUCCAAAUCUUUCUGCCUCCUUUAUUUGGAGUGCCCUAGUUCGUACUCCUGUCCCAUU